rnacentral:lncRNA from 1 species
GGCAGGGGUGAGGGCCUGCAGCCAGGCAGCUUGGUCUUCGGUCUGCCACUUACUAGCAAUGUGACCUUGGGCAAAUUACUUCAUCUCUUUGUCCCUCAGUUUCUUCCUUUGUGAAACAUGGACAAAAAUAGUUCUUACCUCAUAGAAUUGUUGUGAGACUAAAUGAGAUAAUGCAUGCAAAGUGCUUACUGCUAGCCCAUAAUAAGUAGGGCCCCAUUGAGGGUGGCUGCUAGUAUCAUUAUCUCUAUUGUUCAAAAUUAUAAUGAAAUAGGUUGCCUAACUCGGAGAAGGGCCUUAGGCAAAUACUGGAAGCCAGAGUCCUAAUCCAAGAGGUCGGAAAGAUAAUAUAGCAGAAGCAGCCUCAUUUUCAAAAGCCAAGAGGAAAACGGAACACAUUCCUGAGCUCAUUCUCCUCUACUGCAGAAAGGCUUUGCCCACACAACAGAAAUAUGGCUCCUGGCCUCUCCAGCUAAGCAACUCCAGUAGAAAAAUUCCUUCUCGUGUUGUGUGUACAUCAGUACAAAGGGAAGGAUUCUGGCCAUUCUCCACGUAUGAUUGGGACAUCGGAUGAUUCUGGAGAGGGUUCCUGUAAGCCACAGCCCCAAAACAAACCCAUGGAAUAGGGGAAGGAAAGUUCUCCCUCAAAAAGGAUGCUGAAGAGCAAUAGUUUUUAAAAAUAUUCUUUACUACCAUUAAUCAAAUAAUAAGAGGCUUAUGGGCAGAAAUAUCAGCAGGGGAAAAUUAAGGCAGAGUAAUUGUUAGGACCACAGAACCUGGAAACAGCUUUCCUGGGUGAAUUCCAGCCUCACACUUAAGCUGUGGGACCAAAUUACAAGAUCUCUUUAAGCCUCACUUAUUUCACCUAUAAAAAGAGAGACCAAUGUUCCCUAUGUCAGUAAAUUACCAUGAGGAUUAAAUUUAUAUAAAAUGCCAAGCACAAAGUAAUGAUUAUAACGGUUGGCUAUUAGCUGCUUCUAUCACUAUAUUGCUGUUAGUAUUAAGAUCAUACAACAGGUACAUAGUAAAUGCUGGAGUCUGAACUAAAGCAAUGCCCCCUGAUGCCUGACCUAAAGUACUUCCUACUACAGUGUGAAUUAGAGCAGGUGAGCAUUGGAGAGCAGCAGGUAAAACAGUAGUGGAGGUGAGUUAAGCAGGAUUAUGCUGCUGACAUUUCUAGAUCCUUGCCAGAGGCCAAGUGUCCAGUGACCUCUUCUUUAUUUCUUACUUUAUAGUUACUAUUAUCACCCAUUUUAUAGAAUAGGAAACUGAGGCCUAGAAUGAUUAACUUGCCAGCAGGGGCACCCACCUAGGAGGCAGUGGAAGCUCUCCUUUAGGACCUUGCUGAGGCAUUCGCAGAAUAAGCAGGUUCCUUAGUGCUCUGGCUAGACAGGAUUAACGCUUGUUUCUUUUGUCAUUGCACUUGCCUAGUGGGCUGUCCAGCUCAUGGUUGGCACUCAGUCUUUUCAAAGAACAAAUGUCAACCAUGACAAUUGAUGAGGAAGAAAGCAGAAAAAUGUAGAACUCAGACUCCACCAAGAUGUAUGUUAGUUGGAAGUUAUAGAUAAGUUUCCCUCAAAUAUAUAACUGUCACUAUAGCCACUAUUUUAUGAAUUAGAUGCCUCACUUCCAGGCAAACUUGGAACUGAUUUUUGUUGCAAGAAUGAACUUAGAUCUACCUAAGACUUCACCAUUCUCAUUUUUUACAAUUCAGAAAUUUCAAAAUAAUAAGCGUAUGCUAGGUCAUCUGUAGACCUGUUUCUCUUUGUUACUCAAUCCCACAGUCUGACAGUCUGCUCUGAAUUUCUGUAGGCUGUAUCAUUCUGUACCUGCAGGAGAGCGGUGACUCAGCCUGUGGAAUAACUCCCUUUCCCUCAUUAUGACAUGUCACCUUUAUUUCAUUGCUGUGGCAUGUUUCUUGCCCUGUGGCUGAAAAACAAGGCAACCCAGUCAGGAAACCAAAGCAGAUUCUCUACUUCUGAGUCAAAGCGUGAGGUCUGCCAAUCUAGACCUGGAAGACAUGCUCUUACACCUUGCCUAAUCCUCCAAGGAAGUUGUUUUUCUCUUCUUCAACCCCAUCCCUUCCCUCCCACCAAGCCCCUAAGAAGGCAUAACCAUGGAGCUAUUUUUACCUGAAAAAUAAAUCCAGGGGACGAGAUCUUUUAGGUUGCAUUUAUCAAAACAGUGAAUGUUCAGAUUGUUGGCUUAUUUAAAAAUUAAAUAUUUGUUUCUGCAAGGAUUGAUUUAUCUGGUGUUGGUAGUACUGGGUUACACACUAGGAUUCUAUGAGUUACACACUAGGAUUCUAUGACUACAUUGCAGCUGGAUUGUCAGGCUGUCUGUGGUCAUAGAGACAGCCUGGAUAAUGAAUGAAUAGAAAUGUCAGGGCUUCGAGAUUUUCGAGCCCCCUUUCCUUAUCUGGAAAUGGGGAUUAAAAAAUAACUCCUUUUUAGGUUUGUUGUAAAUGAGAAUAUAUGUAAAGUACAUGUAAGAAGAUAUCUCUUAUCUCUAUCAAAGUAAUCUUUCCUAUUGACUUGCUGUGUAACCCUCA